rnacentral:rRNA from 1 species
GACGAACGCUGGCGGCGUGCUUAACACAUGCAAGUCGAACGGUGAAGCGCCUUCCUUUUUGGUGGGUGUGGAUGAGUGGCGAACGGGUGAGUAACACGUGAGUAACCUGCCCCCUUCUUCUGGAUAACCGCAUGAAAGUGUGGCUAAUGCGGGAUAUUCUGGGUCUGUCGCAUGAUGGGUCUGGGAAAGAUAUUGUUUCGGUGGGGGAUGGGCUCGCGGCCUAUCAGCUUGUUGGUGGGGUGAUGGCCUACCAAGGCGGUGACGGGUAGCCGGCCUGAGAGGGUGGACGGUCACACUGGGACUGAGACACGGCGCAGACUCCUACGGGAGGCAGCAGUGGGGAAUAUUGCACAAUGGGCGCAAGCCUGAUGCAGCGACGCCGCGUGAGGGAUGGAGGCCUUCGGGUUGUGAACCUCUUUCGCCAGUGAAGCAGGCCUGCCUCGUUUGUGGGUGGGUUGACGGUAGCUGGAUAAGAAGCGCCGGCUAACUACGUG